rnacentral:tRNA from 1 species
GCGGGGAUAGCUCAGUUGGGAGAGCGUCAGACUGAAGAUCUGAAGGUCACGUGAUUUUGAUCCACGUUCAUCGCA